rnacentral:rRNA from 1 species
AGCGAACGCUGGCGGCGGGCUUAACACAUGCAAGUCGAGCAGGCCCUUCGUGGUCAGCGGCGGACGGGUGAGUAACGCGUGGGAACGUGCCUUCUGGUUGGGAAUAACUCAGGGAAACUGGAGCUAAUACCGAAAAGGCCCUUAUGGGCAAGGGUUAUCGGCCGGAAGAGCGGCCGGCGGCUGAUUGGCUAGUUGGUGGGGGAACGGCCAACCAAGGGGACGAUCAGUAGCUGGUCUGAGGGCUUGAUCAGCCACAUUGGGCCGGAGACACGGCCAAAACUCCUACGGGGGGAGGCAGUGGGGAAUAUUGGACAAUGGCCGAAAGCCUGAUCCAGCCAUGCCGCGUGGGUGAUGAAGGCCUUAGGGUUGUAAAGCUCUUUCAUCCGGGACGAUAAUGACGGUACCGGAGGAAUAAGCCCCGGCUAACUUCGUGCCAGCCGCCGCAGUAA